AACCAUGAUUUUCCAGGCAUGUGUGACCGUAUGAGGCAAAGCAUUAAUUGUUUCCCCCGUCUCUCACCAAACACAACCCAAACACGGAGCAUAGGAAUUCUCCAAGUUCAACACUCGACCAAGGCUGCGCAACAAAAAGGGGAAAGUUGAACGUUCGAACUUCCAUUGACUGGCUUCUUCAACAAUAUUAGGGAGGAAGUUUAUCAUCCUUGCGAAAUAUCUGAAGGUUACAAAUGAAUUUUCGGUAAUGAUGAUCGAUCAUUAAGAACUAGAAAGUAUGAUUUUGCUGCUUCCGAAAGUUUUUUGCCGCCUCAAUAUUAUAGAUUUACAGGUAAAGCAGUGUACCACUUUCUUUUAAGUUACUUCAAACAAGUUUGUUUUAACCAUGUGAGAUUAGUUGAAUAUCUUAGUAGAUAAUUUUAUAUGUACUUUAAUGUCACAUUUCAUCUUUGAUUGGUUGCUGACAAACUUUUUUCCUGUAGUAUGAAAUGUUAGUAUUUCAAGUGCUUGUCUUUAGUCUUUUUAGGAUUGAGAA